rnacentral:lncRNA from 1 species
UUUGGUUAUGUCUCUUUAGGGUCUUCUUAGUGGUGACAGUUUGUCAGACGUUGUUUCCAAUGACCUUGACAGUUUUGAGGAGGACUGGUCAGGCGGUUUGCCAGGGAUCCUUCUAUUGGAACUUGGCUGACGUUUGUCUCAUGAUAAGAUUGGAGUUAUGGGUUGUUGGUAGGAGGACCACGGAGGCAAAAUGCCAUUUCCGUAUAUGUUGACCUUGAUCACCUGGCUGAGGUGGUGCUAGUCAGGUUUCUCUGCUGUAAAAUCGCCCCCUCCCCCUUUUCAUACUGUCCUCUUUGAAAGGAAGUCACUAUGUGCAGCCCACACUUGUGGAGGGAGUAAUGCCCCACCUCUUUGAGGACAGAGUAGCUAUAUAAAUUAUUUGGAAUUCUUCUGUACAGGAAAUUUGUCUCUUCUCCCCCAUUUAUUUAUUCAACCUUUUAUUUAUAUCAGUAUGGACUCAUGGAUAUUUAUUUUAUACUUUGAGUAUAAAUCAACACUACUUUAUUUGUUUUGUUGCUUAAAUUGUCCCAACUUUGGCCCCUGGGAGCUCUUUCAGUCGGCUCCUGUGUCCCUUUGACAUGCCCCCAUCAAUGUGGGUUUUGAGUCAGCAAUUUUAACAAGCUCCCCAAGUGAUUCUGGUACAGGUGGUCCAAGGACCACACUGUGAGAAAUGCAGCUCUGGAACGUGCCGUGAACUCUGCUAACUACAGAAGCCUGCCCGCUCAUUGAUUCCUUCAGCAAACAGGAACACCAAUUUUGACAGUGGCCCGGAAUGAGAGUGCCUUUUUGGAAGCCUUGGCGUCCAGCAGAGAAAUGCCAGCACAUCUCUGGAGAACAAAACAAAACAAAACAAAAUCAGGAUUGGAUGCACUGAAGAGCUUAAGAAGAGCAAUUUAAUUUUACCCACAUCACCCCUCCCCAAGGUAGCACACCUCAGUGCAAAGAAAGACCUUCUCUGCCGGCGAUUUCACCCACCAGGGAAAGUGAGAGCAUGUGAGCGAGCUCCUGGCUUUCCCAGCUGUGCCGGAGGCUGCCAAAGAGACCCACUCCUUCCUGGCCCCGCCAGAAUACUGAGGGGUGCCGCAUGAUGGGGGAGGAGACGGACUCUGGAAGAACAGCAGCCUGGGCUCUCUGAGGGCAUCAAAGAAACGCAGAUCCUGCUGACUGCUUCUCCAGCUCCAUCAGGAAGCCUGCCCACAAGUCACUGGGGACGUCUUGCCUGCAGAUCCAUACAGAUACGGUAGAAAGGGCAACAUCUUUUACCCAAAUGGAAAAAACACUGGACUUCAGUCUGAAAACAAAGGGUUGAUUCUGACCUAAGGCAAGCCAGCGACGACACCUGUGAAAUGAGAACUAACUAUUUUCCUAUAGGAAAGGAAUUUUCCUCUUUAUUUCAACACAGCAGAGCAGAAUGCUUCUAGAUCAAUCUUCCUAAAACUUCCUCUAGUCAUGUUCUUUCAUGUACAAACACCUACAAGGGUUCCCCUCUCUCGGAAUCCGAGAUCUCCGUGCUCAGGGCCAAACCAGCCUUUCCCAGCUGACCUCCAAGACCUCCCCUGCCGCCUCUUGGGUUCCAAACUAACCUGAUAAUCUGCUUCCCGUGCUCGCUUGUUACUUUGCAUCUGUGCUCUCCCCACUCCGUCCACCUAGAGUGUUCCUUCUCUCAUAUGUGUCAGUUGAAUCCCAUCCAUCCUUCAAGGUCCAGGAUAAGUGCCUCUUUCUCUGUGAGAUUUCCUCUGAUCUAUCUGAAUCUCCCCAAUACUUGGGGACCUCCUCUUACAUCAAGUACUUUAUUGUUUAUAUAGUUUUCUCCCCAUCUCUAGAAGAAUUGAUGUUUUUCUCAAUAGUGUAUAUAUCUCCUUCAACUUUCUGUUUCCCCAUACAGCCUAGCAAGAUGGCUUUUACCUAGUAAAAAUACACUAUUUAUUACAUGUCUCAUGGACUUAAUAUGAAGUGAAUUAAAGACAUCACCGUUGUCAAUAAAAACCACCUUUGAAUGAGCACCUACUAUGUGCUAGACCCUGUCUUAAGAAAUUUUCAUGCAUUAUACCACUUAAUUGUGUCGUACAUAUUUCUAUACAAAUGAUACACUUAUCUUCAGUUUGCUUGGCUAUUUUAUAAUUACUUUAUAUUUGGCUAUUUUAUGUAUAACUCAAUAAUUCACUAAUUUGAAAUAUAGAACUUCCAAAAUUACGUAAAGUAUCAGAGGAAAUAAAAUAUAAACUUUCAUAUUUAGGCAGACUCAUGUUUAGGAAUUUCAUAUUUUUUAAUUAAAAAAACUUUGAUUUAAAGUACAUUGGGAGUUGAAAUAUCAGUGUAUAUUAGUUAAAAUGAUAACAUUUAAGGGAGGGUGACAAAAUCAAGGGGUGGAUUACUCAUAGAUUGUGCUCAUGACAACAAAAAAAUAGUAUUUUUUCUCAUUAGAUCAUGAUUAUCACUAUUUUUUUUUUCCUUUUUCUCCCCAAAGCCCCCUGGUACAUAGUUGUAUAUUCUUCGUUGUGGGUCCUUCUAGUUGUGGCAUGUGGGACGCUGCCUCAACAUGGUUUGAUAAGCAGUGCCAUGUCCGCGCCCAGGAUUCGAACCAACGAAACACUGGGCCGCCUGCAGCGGAGCGCGCGAACUUAACCACUUGACCACGGGGCCAGCCCCGAUUAUCGCUAUUUUUUAAGAGUAUUCUUUAAGGAGAAAUUGUAGAGAAUUCCUGCUCUGUGAGAAAAAUUCUUUUCCUGCUCUGCAUGCUUCCCAACGCUAACACAGGGCACAGGCCAGAGUUUUGAACUUUCACCCUUAAGCGCGUUCUCUUAAUCACAUUCUUCGUUGUUCUGUCAGCAAGUCAGAAAAUGGAUUUAUAUUUUAUAAUGAAAACCACAGCAAUAAUCUUUGAAGCUGUUGAUUUUUAUAGUCAGUCAAGCCUAAUCAUUAAGUUCCAUUGUCUUGUCAUUGCCAAGGAGGUGGUGUGACCUGUCGAAUCACUCUUUGUAGGUAAAUUUCUGCAGUAAAUGUAUAUUUUUAUUGCUGUAAAGUAUAUAUAACAUAAAACUGACCAUUUUAACUAUUUUUAAGUGUACGAUUCAGUGGCGUUGAGUACAUUCACAUUGUCGUGCAGCCAUCACCACCAUCCAUCUCUAGGACACUUUGAUCAUCCCAAACUCGGUACCAUUAAACACUAACUCUCCAUUUCUCCCGCCCGCUGGCCCCUGGCAACCACCAUUCAAUCUUCUGUCUUUAUGAACUUGAUUCGUCUAGGUACCUCAGAAGUAGAAUCAAGCACUAUUUUUAAAUCAUCUCUUCUCUUAAAAAAAAAAACAAAAAUGAAACCACAUGUGUUACAUAAAAGUGCUUAAGCAACUUUAAUUGAGCAAAUUGGCUGAGUUUAUUCAAAAGCCUAAAUAAAUCUCCCCUCCGUUCAAAAUAAGAUUUCAGACAAGGGAUUGGCUAACUUGUAUAUGUAUCAAAAUUGUUCAUCAACAUGGGCAGUGCCAGCUGGAGUCUCUUAAGAUACUUCACUCCUCAGUCAUAGGGAAAUAUCCCAAGAAUUCUGAGAUUCUCCAAUCUCCAGGAAAGGAGAAGUUUAUGCUUUUUAACUGCUACAGUAAAAAGUGGUGUUUUUCCUUUCUUCCCUUACAUAUCAAUUUGAGAGAAUAUUUGCUGAGGGGAGGACGUAUUUUUUUUCCACAUUGAAUCAAAUGGCCAAAGUUAACUGAUUAAACAUUCAGUAUUCUUUUAGAGGUAGUCUAGUUUUACUAAAAAUGAGUGAUUGGUUUUAGUUUGGCUUAAAAAUGUUAUUAGAGAGCCAACCCUGGUGGUUAAGCCUACUGGUUAACCUAGUGGUUAAGUUCAGCACACUCCGCUUCAGCAGCAUGGGUUCAGUACCCUGGCACAGACCUACACCACUCAUCAGUGGCCAUGCUGUGGCAGCAGCUCACACACAAAAAGAGGAAGAUUGGUAAAAGAUGUUAGCUCAGGUCAAAUCUUCCUCAGCAAAAAAAGUCAUUAGAAAAUUCAUAGUUCUUUUAUUGGUUUUAUGUAACAAUUGUUGGUAUACAGACUCCCUUUUAGUUUUUAAAUGUAAAUUUAGACAAUUGGGGCUAUUUGCUUUGGUUCAAACACCUUUUUUUCUUCAGCGUUGAAAAAGAAAAUAUAAUACGUGGUUAUAUUGGAGACCUUGUGAGCACAGCCUCACAGCUAGGCCCCCCUUGAUCCCUACAGCCACUAUGGCAGAAACCAGCUUCCUGCAGGUGUAAACGGCAGUCCCCUGCCUCAGCUACUCCCAGCACUUAUUGCUUUCUGCUGUGAAAAUGUCUACUUGGCAAUCAGGUAGGUACAACUUUUAAGUGUGGGGAAGAGUCAUGGUUAGUUUUAUGUGUCAGCUUGGAUGGGCCAUGGUGCCAAGAUAUUUGGUCAAACAUUAUUCUAGAUAUUUCUGUGAAGGUGUGUUUUGGAUGAGAUUAACAUUUAAAUUUUUGGACUUUGAGUAAAGCAGAUUGCUUUUCCUAAUAUGGGUAGGCCUCAUUCAAUCAGUUGAAGGGCUUAAGAGAAAAAUACUGACUCUCCUUUGAGCAAGAAGGAAUUCUGCCAGCAGAUGGUCUUCAGACUCAAACCACAACUCUUUCCUGAGUCUCCAGCCUGCCAGCCUACCUCAUCAGAUUUUGGACUCACUAAGCCUUCACAAUUACAUGAGCCAAUUUCUUAAAAUAAACCUACCUAUCUGUAUCUAUCUAUCUAUCUAUCUAUCUGUCUGUCUGUCUGUCUGUCUGUCUAUCUAUCUAUCUAUCUAUCUAACU